GCAGGACUUUCAAACCAACAGGAAUUUCAGGAAUCAAUGUGUUAUUUUAUUAGGUGGCAAUAUGUCCUAGUGCAGUCAGACGGGAAAAGCCAGGGUCAAAGGGUGGUGGCUGCCUCGGGGCGGUGUUUCUGGGGCUGGUACCUGUGAAUCAUUCUUUAGCUGUCCUGUUACCCUGACACAGAGAAUAAUGAGAAGUAAACUCGUGAUGUCCACACAGUGAAGUUUCUGCUAAAUGAAGUCAUGUAGUGAUCCUGCUGAGCUGCUCUCUUCUCUCACUUCUUCAGAUUCUCUUGACACGCACCGAGCUUUUACACAUGAUACAAAGAUAUUUCAUAUGCUGAACAGACUUUAUUGAAACAGAGACAAUCAUCAGAAUACAGUGAGACAGAGCUAAUCAAACAGAUUGAUUGUAGGAUCAAUGAUCAUUGUUGGAGUCAAAGAUCUGAGAUCACAGUGGGUGAACAUCAUUUCAGAAAGGAAAGAAAAACAAUCAAACUGGUUAAACAGGAACACCAUAGACUCUUUGGUUUCUGCCCAGUGAGCAUUCCCAGCUCUGUUACUAAAACGAACUGAAGGUCAGGUACAGCGUAUUACCUUUGUUCCCACUGUUGAGGUGUCUUUGUCUAAUGAAGACCCUGGGAUAUCUGUACUGCUCCACAGCUGCUGUGUUGACGAUCACAGAAACCGCCCAAAUGGGAAGACCGGAGUCUUUCUUGUACCACAGGUACACGUAACUUCCUCCUGCCCCCUUGCUUAGAUCAGUAGUUACCCUUGUAAAGCCCAUAUACUGAAACAACAUCUCGUCUAUAUCAUCAGUGGAGAUCUGCAGAUCUGUGAUGGCUCUUUGAGAGUUAGUGGUCUGACGGUACCAGAUGAAGACAAAGGAUCCUCCUGCGCCUCUGUUGGUAUCUUCAUCCACUCUGAUGUAGCCGUUCUGGAAGUAGUCAGCAUCUCCAUCAUAGUCAGCAUUGGCAGUGAUGUCACAGAUGUAGGUUGGUCUCUCCCUCUUCACCCACAGGUAGAUCCAUUUUCCUCUAGCUUUCCGGUUCAGAUCACAGGCCAGUCUCUCCCAUCCAAAUGCAAACAUCUGGGCUUCCUCUCUUGCUCCUAUA